rnacentral:rRNA from 1 species
GACGAACGCUGGCGGCGUGCUUAACACAUGCAAGUCGAACGGAAAGGCCCUGCUUUUGUGGGGUGCUCGAGUGGCGAACGGGUGAGUAACACGUGAGUAACCUGCCCUUGACUUUGGGAUAACUUCAGGAAACUGGGGCUAAUACCGGAUAGGAGCUCCUGCUGCAUGGUGGGGGUUGGAAAGUUUCGGCGGUUGGGGAUGGACUCGCGGCUUAUCAGCUUGUUGGUGGGGUAGUGGCUUACCAAGGCUUUGACGGGUAGCCGGCCUGAGAGGGUGACCGGCCACAUUGGGACUGAGAUACGGCCCAGACUCCUACGGGGGGCAGCAGUGGGGAAUAUUGCAAAAUGGGCGGAAGCCUGAUGCAGCAACGCCGCGUGCGGGAUGACGGCCUUCGGGUUGUAAACCGCUUUCGCCUGUGACGAAGCGUGAGUGACGGUAAUGGGUAAAGAAGCACCGGCUAACUACGUG